AGCUAGCAGAUCUAAGAUUAUGGUUCUUGAGCAAUAGCUCACUACUCUGCUCGGUAGUCAAGAGGACAAAAAUCAACUCCGAGUACGUCUUAAAUUGACAUAUUGGUAUUACUAUUGCAAUACAAUAUUUGAAGAAUGAAAGGUGAAGAAAGUUUUCUCUAGUAACUUUAAUUCAGUGAGCUUAACAUUGCAUAACUCUAACCAAGACACAAUAUCAAAUAAGGCUAAGUUAUAGUCGGACACUAAUUUGAAAUCUUGCAACUUGAGAUGCUGCUAGUCAUACUGUGUUUGAGGGAGGAUAACAGUCUUUUUAUGAUCAUACCUUUCUCUCAACCUCGUCCACAGGAUCUCAAGGUCUUAGAUGGAUAAAUAGUGAGUCUUCAGGCUCUAAUGCAAAUGACGGUGAAGGAAAAUCAGUGCAUUCGCCUUAUCUUUGUCAUUUGCGUUAUCAUCUUUAAUAAUUGCAUGAACAAGACCUUCCCCUUGGAGAUAUAUCUCCACAUCAAGGUAUCCGGACAAAUAAUUGCUUCCACUCACUUCCAGGAUGUGGAACUUGGGCUUUUCAAUAUUGUCCAUGAUUCUGUGUACAGAAAUUGGACCCUAAAGUUAAUUAUGAAAGCUAUAUGGAUUCUUGGAGACCCACCACCGCUUCAGGGGGUGUAAGGAGGUUCAACAUCCGUUGUCGGCUUCAGAUUGGUUGGAUGGUAUACAAAAUUAAAAUCUAAUUGGUUGAAGAGUUAAAAAAAAAAUACCUUCUUAGUUGGUUAGAGUCCCGUGCCGAUAACCUGUUCUAAAAUAUGACUUUGAAAGAGAAUAUUAGAGAGAAGUAGUAAAAAUGUAAGAAGAUCUUUUAUUUCAUUCCUUGUUC
rnacentral:lncRNA from 1 species